UACAGAGGUCCCGAGCGUUGUUCGGAUUCACUGGGCGUAAAGGGUGCGUAGGUGGCGAGGUAAGUCGGAUGUGAAAGCUCGGAGCUCAACUCCGAAAUGGCAUUGGAAACUACCUUGCUCGAGGGUUGGAGGGGGGACUGGAAUACUUGGUGUAGCGGUGAAAUGCUUAGAUAUGACAUAGAACACCAAUUGCGAAGGCAGCUCACUACACAAUUAUUGACGCUGAGGCACGAAAGCGUGGGGAUCGAACAGG
rnacentral:rRNA from 1 species